UCCAGCCAGGGCUGGGGGGGGACAGGGCAGGGCAGGCCUAGGGACAUGCCACCACCAGGGGAGCAGAGGCUGAUCUACCCCCUGCCCCAGGAUGCCUCAGAGAGGGGGUGCACAGGUAUGACAUUCAUGCACCCCCCCAGUUCUUCACCUCCUCUCCAGUCUCAACCUUACACACCCAUGAGGAAUCUCACUCCCCAAACCACCCUCAUACCCCAAGGGGGAGUGCAAGGGCACUUCAGCACCCCCAGCUCACCCCCCAUCCAUCCCUGACCCCUGGGAACAGCACUAGGAACAGGCCCUCCUUUGGAGCUGAUCCAACAUGGCUAUCAUGUCUGAGACACAACCCAGGCGCUUCAGCAGCCCCCCUGAUACACAGUCCACAGCUCUUUCCAAGGCCAAGCUGCCACCACAGUCGUGAAAACAGCCCCCAAGAUUAAUUAAGAUAGGGCUUGUCCUGGCUGGAGUGGAGCAAUUCCGCCACAGUUCAUUCGGCUCAUUGCAGACAGCAGGGGCAGGACCCAAAGUGCUGCGGGUGUUGCACCCGCUCGCUCCAAGGCUGAAUCAGCUUUCCAAAAAGCAAACAAGCAGGAGGGGAUUGUUGGGAAAGGAAGUGGCCAGGCCUGUCCAAGGGGAGGCAGGCGCGGAUUAGCAAUGGGAGCGGAGGUUCCUGGAGCUCGAAAAAGGAUUCGCCAAGGCUGGGAACGCCGAGGGACAUCCGUCGCCUCCCCUUCACUGCGUGACAUCAAACAAUUUAUGACCGAACUGGAACCGACUAGUUUGGCAAAAGGGAUGUGGAGAGAAGCUGGCGGAGCUUCAUGGAGAAACCGCUUCUGCAAGGCGAUGGGGGAAUUUGUGUUAUUUUAAAAUUGCUAAUUGAUCGUACUUUGUUAAGUCAGUGCAGCAAAUGGCUCUGGGAGCGCUGCUUGCUUAUGCAAGAUGCUUUUCCUGUGCUUUAAUCUGUUGUUUUUUUUUCAGUACAAGAGCCACUCGUUUCAUCUGCUCUGUAAGUGACAUUUUCAGCAUGACGAGUGGCAGGAAUUUGUAAAAUAAAUAAUUAAAUAAAUAGUGAUUCGUGUCUGUUUGGGGUUUUUUUAAAGAAAAAAUCCUGGAGUAAAUAUUACAUCAGCUGGUAGCUAAUUACAGCCAUUUAGGGAACUUUAAUUAGGACCACUUGCAGUGAACAUUGUUGAAGGAGGUUUAAAUUUCAUUUGUGCAUUUCAGUUUGAUUUUGGAUGGAGAGAGAAGUGGUGGAAGCUGUUACACUCAAUAAAAGGACUGACUUACCAAACCCCCCAGCUCUUCUGGGCUCACCUUCACUACCCUAAGAAACACCUCCAACUCCAAAGAGAGCAGUUCACACCCCUGGAGUGCUGGGCACCAAUUGGACACCAGUAACACCCAAUCUAUGGUACUGUCCACCACCUUUGUUUUAGGGGUGAUGGGAGUCACUUUGGUCUAAUUUUCCCUGUGCUUUUUGGACAGCACUUGGUGGAGCACUUUUUCCUCCUUCUCCAUGCAUUGUCAGAGACUGCAGUGCCAGGUAUCACAAUGCCAUCAGUAUUUCCACGUAGGCCACCAGAAGAAACUUUUGUUGUCAGAGAAUCACAGAAUGGUUUAUGUUGAAAGGGACCCCAAAGCCCAUCCCAUCCCACCCUCUACCAUGGGCAGGGACAUCUUUCACCAUCCAAUCUGGCCUUGGACACUAUCAGGGAUAGGACAGCCACAACCUCUGACAUUUCCCGAUGGUCGUUUGCUCACUGUCAUUUUCACUGAAGUCACAGACCAAUACCCCUCUUCUCCUUCCCUCUGGCAGGACUAAAUUCCAGGGGGAGCCUCCUGGAGAAUCCAUUGCAGUCAGGAAUGUUUUCUAAGACAUCUCUUGAUGCAUUGCUGAGUUCCAGGCCUCACAGAGGACCCAUGGCCAGAGCACGGGGCUCUGCUGGGUCAGGCUGGAACAUAAGGAACAGAAAAACUGAGGCAGCACCAUCCUCCUCCUGUGACUCCCCUUCUCCUGCCCUGCAUUCCUCUGAAAUAAUUGGGGUUUCUCUUCUCACUUUUCAAAUUCAGGACUGGAGCACAUCACCUUCAGCACAUUCUGGAAAGGUGGUCUGUCGUGUUUUGCAGUCCAAGGGCUCUGCUAGCUCAGCUCCUGGAUGUCCAGCAGCUCAUCCUGUAGUCAUAUCCUUCCUAAAGCUCCUCUGCUGCACACUCAACUAUGGUCCUCUCCACCUUCAUCCUCUGAAGAGCAGCUCAGAGCAACACUUCCAGCUGCAGUUUCCAAGAUGCCGAAGUUGCACCUCACACCAGGCAUAGCAGCUGGUCUCUUUGUGGCACAGCGAGGGAAGGAAUCAUCAAGUUUUAACUGUAUUUCUGGCUGUAAGCAGGAAUUUCAGAGCAGCCUUUAAGAAUCCCACUUGCUGUCAACAGAAUACAGACACAGCUCUGAAUGGGGCUGCUCUGCACAGCCCAACCUGGUACAACACUUCCAACUGUGCUGUGCCAGCACAUCUGAGAUUGGGCUCCCUGGAACAGCAAGGGUCUCUCAGUUAGGGAGCAAUUCCUGUGUGUUUCAUGUUCUGGCCCAGCAAGAGGAGACUAUUUGGACCUCUAAGAAUUCUCAUGCAGGAAAACUACUCCUUCCAGCCCACACCUGGGUGACGUAUUAAACUAUUCUGUUUUUCCUUUUUUUUCCUUAACAUUUUAAGAGCCUCUGAGCUCUGGUCCUUUCAGAGAAGCCAGUUAUGAGCAACAGAGUAUGUACAUGGCUGACCAAAUAUUAUCUCAUCCAUGGGGACAAGCCAAUUCUCCUCCAUCAUCAGCUCUGCCAGAUGGCUCCUGUGCGCAUCUCCAGGUUUUCCAUCAACCAGUGUUAAUGCCUCAGAUGACACUGCUGUGGUAGCUCCUCUCUUCUUGUCUCAGCCUCCUUGGAUAUCAGUAAUAUCCCUACACAGCACUUGUAUCAUGUUUGGAAGAACAACUCAGCUGCCAUGGCCAUUGUCUUUGUCACUGGAUUUGACUGGAGCUUAAUGCUCCCCUCCACAGGCACAGCACAUACAGCAAAACAGCAGCAAGCCCUGCCUUCCCACCACAGCCUCUGCUAACCCACAGGUUGAUUAGACCAAAACUGGGUAAGAUUUUAUAGGGAUUUUAACAGAGCACAUAACAAGUUCCUUCUGCGUUCAAUUUUGAAAAGAUAAAAGGUCAGAAGCCAAGAUUCUGAUAUUUUAAAUGUGUUUUGGUGACUUUUCUUUGCCUCUGCUUUCCAGGCUUGUGGAAUACACUAACUGCAUUUCCCCAAGCAUUUCUGUACUGCCACAAGGUAUGUAAAUCUACUGAUAUAAGGUACACAAAAGAAGAGCUGAAAUUCCUCAGUGAUACUGGGACACAGGCAGCUGGGGACUGGAGAAAAACAACAAAUAGCCUGAACCUUUAAAUUGUAAAAACUGGCAGGAGUGAUCUCAAAUCCAAACAUAUGACAGCACUGGGGAAAAAAAAAGCCUCAACCAAAAUCCAAAAAAGUACAACACUCAAUAGGCUUUUAAGGAUUUUAGCAGUAGGGGAUGAUGUCAGCUCCAGGCAUCACAUCCUGAAGAAGCUGACCCUUGUCUGCACAGCAGAUUUUGUUAGACCUAAUGAAGCAUGAGCUGACAGUGAAGAUUUUUCUAGGCUUUGGGCAUUCAAAACAUGUCACCCUUGUGCGGAUUCUUGUCUGCUAAGGGUAGGGCUUCUGCCACACUAGGAACAUUGAAAGUGUCUUUCCUCAUUUUUCUUAGGGAGAAAACCAGUAUUUGAGCACAUCAAAGAUAACACGCCAUUGCCUGACUACUUCCUGAGGCCAUUCUGAGAGCCUCCACCCUCCCACACAAUAGUUUAUCUCUGAGGUUGUUCCUGCCCCUCCCUCUGUCUACAUUUUCAGGUGUCCCAUUAGGGAUGCUUUGAUACCCAAACCCAGUAGGAAAGCAUCCAGGUCACUCAGCCUCCAGAGAAGCAGCAAGCCAUGUGCAGCCUCAGAGCCCUGAUCCAAGGCAACACGUCCUUGCCGCUGGAGAAGGAAGGCAGCUGUGUGCAGCCACGUGGAACUGCGCGGCCACCACGGCCCAGCCGAGGAGAACCAAACCUCACAGGCAGGAAAGGAACACCUCUGCGAUCCCAAAGCACACAGUACUGGAAAUACCCGCUGGUUCUGCAAGCACCUGAAAAGAUGUGAUUCUCCUGAACGUGCCAGCAAGUCCUUCCCUGUCGUCGCUAACUCCCGCAUUCCCAGAAUACAAGAGGACUUUAUUCUCAAAAGGGUUUGUCCCUUGCUUCUCUUUCUCCUGCAUAAAAUGGGCAAAACUGCAGGAAGAGAUGGGAUGGAGUUGAGCUGCAGGCUGUGGCAUGCACCUGCAGAAGCACAUCAGAGCACAAAGAAGCACAUGGCAGCACAGGGAGGCUUGUGUCCACCUGACCUUGGGGGGAGGAAGUGUCAAGCACAGAGUCCUGCAGAGAGGAGCUUGCUGGAAGCUGGCAGAUGGGUGAACAGAGCGUCAUCACCCCACAGAAGGACACUGACAGAGCGUGUUGCUGAUGUGGUUGCCAUAGGUCGCUUAGUGAGAAUUACCAUAGAAGGGAAUACCGAGUCUUGAGGAAGUGUAUAAAACCAGCUGGUUUCUUUGAAUAAACGGCUCAGACUCACUGCUGGUCUGAGCCCAUGCCUCAGUUGUUACAAAUGGUGUUCUGCAUUGGGACUUGACAGGCAACUUGUGGUUGCACUGAUGGCAAUGCUUGGCUGAAUUUUAAAGGGGGCUGAAAGAAAGCCUGGGAGCUGAAACAAAGCUCAUGGCACCAAUUGACCUUUCCACAGGAUGAAGGUUAGCAGCUGAGAACGAUGGAGGAUGAUGUAUUCCAGGAACAGAAUGUCACAGAGACAUUAGAAGAGAUUUUGAAAAAGCACAACAGAAAAGUUGAAUCUACAUAUUUGGACAGACUCUUCUUCUGGGCAAAGACUGUGAUUCAAUUUUAGAUGAUACCAAUAUUUUUGACACUGGGACAUGGGAUGCUUUUGAGGACGCGUUGUGGGACUGAGUUAUGUGAGCUGAUGCAGUGCUGACAAAGCUUUUGUGUCUGUAGCAGACUGUGUGCGAACCGCUCAUGGUGCAUGUGGCACCUGCAGACUGGACAAAGAAUGAUGCUUGUACCACUGCGGCAGCCAUGCUGACCCCUUCUGUGCCACCAGUGAAUGACCAUAAGUCUGUCUGCCGUGGGAAGGGAACCAGAAGAUGGCCCCUAGUUCCCUGACUCAUUUGGAGGGGACCCAGACAGUAUUGUAGAAGAGCUCACGCCACCCUGCGCCAUCAGCUGGAGCUGUGGUGAGUGCUGAGCUGGGAGGACUCUUCAUAGCAGCACAUUCCCUCUCUGUCCGCCCUCAGUGAGUUUAGCGGCGGUAGGAGGGGAGUGUGCAGAGCCAUGGGGGCACGGUGCUGUAGCGGAGAUGGCAAGUGCGCAGUGCUGAGCACAUGGCGGCGAGCACACGGCAGGGCCACGCCAGCGAGCGCAUAGCACAGCCAGGGACAGCAGUGAAUGCUGUGCUGGUGACAUAGCAGUUACAGCAGGACGUGUGCAGCUCUCUGCAUGUGGGCAGUAAGAAGGUGAUCCAAGGAGCCUGGUGGCACUGGCACAGGCAGCACUGUGUCCCUGUUACCUGUGCAUGGCAGGAUGUGCCUGGGAAGACACAGCCACCAUCUUGUGCAGGGGCUGCUGCAAGCUUGGCAUGUCAUUCUUGCAGCUGGACCAUUAAAAACUGUUUUUGUUACUCAGAAUGUUGCUGCAAUCCUGGACCCUAUCUCAAAGAUUGCUUUUUUACCACACCAUCUUGUGACCCUCUGCAUUGUUCUAAUUGCUUUUUGUUAUGGAUGCUCCUGUGUGCAAGUCAUAUUUUGCUCUUGUUAAAAAGUAACUUUAUGAUUUCACUAAGCUGUAGACUUUGACAUGACUUUUAAUUAGAUUUAAGAUUAACUGUGUGAUGCUAGUGUAUUUCUGGACCCAGACAGCAUGAAAACAUAGUUUUUAUAAAGAAAUUUAGUUGUAAGAUAAUUAUUUAAUGAUAUGUACAUGCAUUCUUUUGGUUACAUUAAUAAAGGUUUGCUUGUAGGUAUUUUGGAGAAACCCUCCCAGUCCAGGCUUGGGCCCUAGCAAAGCCUUGGCCCUGGCUGCUUAGGGAAGUAUGCCAUCAGACCCAAGUAUUUCUGCACUGGAAGUGUAAUCAAGUCAUCUUGACUUGCUGAUUUGGUCUUAUAAAACUGGACCCCCUUUUGAGGUGAACUUGAAAACCUUGUCUGGGAAAGGUUUUUCAGGUCCUCACUGUGAAAUGGGGCUCCCCAGUGAUGGCAGACUCUGGGUUAUGGUAAAGUAUUUAGGCAGUUAAAGGUGCCUUGCUUAUUUUUGCUCUGUAGUGAUUGUUGUUUUAUUAGAUGCACUGUUUAACUGGGUUGAAAUGUGUUCAUGCAGGGAUGGGAUAUAUCCCUAAUAAAAGCCUGACAUGUUCUUAACUUUUAGAAUCACAUUCAGAAUGACCUAAUCCCUUUCAAACAUUUUUGUGAAUCACAAGCUCACUUAAGCUUAGCAAGAAUCUUGAAAGUAGAAAAUGGGAAUGACCCUUUCCAUUGAUAACUGGGGGGGCAAAGAUAUGCUUGUAUUUCCAGAUUCCAGCCCACAAUGGGUACCUGCAAGCGUGAUCCAACCAGCCUUGGUUGCUCUGGCUUUAUCAUCAGCUUGUGGAGAAGCUGAGGGAACAAGACGAAUGGAGCUUGUUUGGUUCAGGCUGUGGGUCAAACAUAUUCUAAUGCUGGGAGUGUUUUGUUUCGUGAUUCUUGUUUGUAUAGAACAAAAAAGAGGGAAUUGUGGGAAGAGAUGGGAUGGAGUUGAGCUGCAGGCUGUGGCAUGCACCUGCAGAAGCACAUCAGAGCACAAAGAAGCACAUGGCAGCACAGGGAGGCUUGUGUCCACCUGACCUUGGGGGGAGGAAGUGUCAAGUACAGAGUCCUGCAGAGAGGAGCUUGCUGGAAGCUGGCAGAUGGGUGAACAGAGCGUCAUCACCCCACAGAAGGACACUGACAGAGCGUGUUGCUGAUGUGGUUGCCAUAGGUCGCUUAGUGAGAAUUGCCAUAGAAGGGAAUACCGAGUCUUGAGGAAGUGUAUAAAACCAGCUGGUUUCUUUGAAUAAACGGCUCAGACUCCCUGCUGGUCUGAGCCCAUGCCUCAGUUGUUAUACAUAACAACACUCUACCUUACAGGGCUUUGGAAAGCCUUAAUUAGACAAACUGCUCUGAGAUUUGUGUAAGAGAAGAAUUAAAUCAACAUAUUGUAAAGCCUGAGGUAGUGCACACACCUUUUUUUAGCGUACAGUCAGCCUCUUUGUGAAUGUCUGCAAAUACAUUCUAACCUUCCUAACGAUGCUCACCUCACUAGGGAAGAAGUCACUUGCACAAAAGCCAGAUUUAGUUUUCUGUGUAACCUCCUCUUCACACCCACCAUUGGCACUGCAUGUGGAAAAAGCCAUGUAGCUGUGUAAUUACAGACUGCAGUGAGGUGGCCCUGCUCAGGUACUGCUCCCCAGGUGAGGGGGAUAUGUAGCAUGUUUUGAGCCUGGUCCCAGGGGUUGAAAAAGGAGUCUGAGGGGAGAGUAGGCAAUUUAAUCUCCAAACGAGGAAAACCACAUCCAGUGACCCCAGGGAAGAGUGGUACCUCUCUCCUUACACCUGAGCAGAUCCCCUCAUGUUCCACACACAGCCCAGAGCCUGAUCCCAGCAUCCAGGAACUGCCUACAGCAACUCCCUGCUUUGCAGGAAUUGAAAGUAAGUUUCAUAUUCCAAAAACCUGGCAAUCCCCCAGAACUCCAUAACUUCCACAUAAUAAGAAAUUGCAAGAGCUAUAAGGGUCAUUUGGACAGCAAAGACAACCUGAAUACAGCAGUCACACUCCACCCCAAAAUCAAGAUGCAAUUCCCAUGCUAUGUUGGUGCUCGCAGUGAGGGGCUUUUGGGAUUAGCACCAGAGAGCAGAGUUUAGAACAGCAGGGUCCAAACCUCACCAGGAUUUUCUUCUUUCCUGGAAACAGCCAAUAGGCUGGGAGCUCCUGGCAGGUGCUGACAUGUAAGAGUUGCCAGUGAGCUUUGCUAUCACUGCUUUCCAACCGCUGCCAUUUCCUGUUCAUCCCACUGCAUGUCAGAGACCAAGAAUAAAAGCAUUCCCUGUCAUGACAACUGCCAUGCUUACAAUCCCUUAGCAGGAGGGAAAAGCCGAGGCACACACGGCUCAGAUUCCCUUGCCUUUCCCUGCCUGUGCUCCAGCCAAGUGUCUAGGCCUGGCUUGUGCUCUUCUGGCUCAUGCUAUAUCCUGCUUAGUUCAGAUUAGCACGCAGGGCUGCCUACAAAGGUAAUUUCCUGCAAUGCAUCCCACUUUUUAAGCAACACAAGCUCCCAUGCAGCCAGGCAGUUCCACACAGGAACUUGCUGCCUUCAGCGAGAGCUAAAAGCACAAACUCCAGAGCUCUGCUGGUUAAGCACAGAGCUGACAACUCUUUUUCCUCCACAGCACGUCACUUUGCCGGUGGGUCCUCCAAAAAAUUCCUCCUAAUCCUUAUUUUUCUGGUAAUUUCUAUCUUGACCUGAAACAGUCAAAAUCAGAACUUCAGUUGAAGUCAGUGUCUAGGGACACUACACACAAGGAUGUGUGCCAGGCACCCCCAUCAAGGAAAAGGAAUAGUUACAAUAGCAAAAAUGGUCCUGGAUUGUGGCAUCAUCCCUUAUGGACUGAUUUCCCCCCAUAUAGCAACGAACCAAAAAUGGUGGCACUUCUCUGACUGACAAAAAUCAGAUCCUGCAGACUAAUCAGAACAAAGACUUAAUUACUUAGUU